AUACGUAGGGGGCAAGCGUUAUCCGGAUUUACUGGGUGUAAAGGGAGCGUAGACGGCGAAGCAAGUCUGAAGUGAAAGGACGGGGCCCAACCCCGGAACUGCUUUGGAAACUGUUUGGCUGGAGUGCGGGAGGGGUAAGCGGAAUUCCUAGUGUAGCGGUGAAAUGCGUAGAUAUUAGGAGGAACACCGGUGGCGAAGGCGGCUUACUGGACCGUAACUGACGUUGAGGCUCGAAGGCGUGGGGAGCAAACAGGAUUAGAUACCCUGGUAGUCCACGCGGUAAACGAUGAUCACUAGGUGUCCGUGGGUAUGACCCAUGGGUGCCGCAGCCAACGCAAUAAGUGAUCCACCUGGGGAGUACGUUCGCAAGAAUGAAACUCAAAUGAAUUGACGGGG
rnacentral:rRNA from 1 species